UGCGUUCAAAAAGCUACGAGUCCCAACUUGCUAUACUUCCUAACUGCUAAGUUUCAAAGUAGCCAUCAUUUCAAAACACCUUAGCCUCAUCUUUUUUUUCAAUACAAACCAGCAUAACAAUUUAGCACUAGCAUUAUUUCAAUAGAAACCAACAUCAUCUCAAAAUAGAAGUAAACUCAUUCAAAGCUCAAUAAGUCCAAAGCAAGUAAACCUAUUUUAAAAUAAAACAGAAACAAGUAUAGAAAAAAUAACAACAAGCAUGACAGGGACACAUACCAAAAAGGAGAAGUGGCGGCGACGGCGGCGGUGCACGGCUGAUAGCAACAGUUACCGGUGGAAAUGACGUUAAAACAGGAACAAAUGUAUCAAUAAACAUGGCUUGUGCAUCAAUGGCAGUCAGCAUCAACAUAGCAGGGUUUGGCAGUGAACAAAGUCAACAUAGCAUGCCUUGAUCUGAUUUAAAUUUUAUUGUAAUUUAUUUUUGGCUUUAAUCUUAGUUUGUAAUUUGAUUUGGUUUUAAAACUCUAAUUAGAUGAAAUUGUAAAUUUAUGAUACAUAAUAAAAAUAUUUAUUGUAAU